AAGUCGUAACAAGGUAACCGUAGGUGAACCUGCGGUUGGAUCAUUAAAAAAUCUUGGUUUACAUCAAACCAAAACAUUUUGUGCACCACAUCUGUCCUUGGUAGUUCGAGUGUCCUUGAAGCGUUUCCAACAGCUUUGAGGUACCUACUUGGGAAAGCAAGAGAUUCAUUUCUCUCUUUCUCGGGUUGGGCUACCGACUUUUUAUCAAACCUUAUGUUUUUUAACAAUUUUUCUUCUGACUGGUUAAUCAACAGAUUAAUUAGAACGCGAUAACUUUUGACAACGGAUCUCUUGGCUCUC
rnacentral:misc_RNA from 1 species